rnacentral:misc_RNA from 1 species
GACAGAGGGUGCAAGCGUUGUUCGGAAUCAUUGGGCGUAAAGGGCGCGUAGGCGGCGAGGCAAGUCGGAUGUGAAAGCCCAGGGCUCAACCUUGGAAGUGCAUCCGAAACUGCUUGGCUUGAGUCCCGGAGAGGGUGGUGGAAUUCCCAGUGUAGAGGUGAAAUUCGUAGAUAUUGGGAGGAACACCCGUGGCGAAGGCGACCACCUGGACGGAGACUGACGCUGAGGCGCGAAAGCGUGGGGAGCAAACAGG